rnacentral:tRNA from 1 species
GGUUGGCUCAGGGAUAGAGCACGUGCCUAGUGAGCACGAGGCCCUGAGUUCAACCCUUAGUACCACCA